AUGCUGCAUGGACCAUGUGGCGAGUUGAAAAAAAUUUGCCCUUGCAUGAUUGAUGGUCAGUGUCGGUUUCAUUACCCGCGAGAUUUUUGUGAUGCCACACAACAAGGGAAAGACUCAUAUCCCAUCUAUAGGCGGAGGGACGAUGGGCGUCGAAUUAGGAUCAGAGGAGCAGAUUUGGACAAUAGGUGGGUGGUCCCUUACAACCCUUCACUACUUAUGCGAUACAACUGCCAUAUUAAUGUGGAAGCAUGCUCGAGCAUCAAGGCAGUCAAGUACUUGUUCAAGUACAUCUACAAAGGUCAUGAUCGUACAUCCUUUGCAUUCGAGCAGGAUAUCAUCAAUGAUGGUGGAAUCAUUAAUGAAAUCCGACAAUAUAGGGAUGCACGAUACGUAUCUCCUUCAGAGGCUAUUUACAGGAUUUUUGGUUUUAAAAUGUUUGGUGUCAGUCCAUCUGUGCUACAACUCCAGCUUCAUUUGCCAAAUAUGCAUACAGUUGCAUUUAAAGCAUGUGAGAAUCUUGCAGAUGUUGUAGCUCGACCAUCUUCUUCAAAGUCCAUGCUUACAGAAUACUUUGAGAUGAACCGGAAGUUUCCAACUGCACGAAAAUGGUUGUACGGAGAGUUUCCAGAACAUUAUAGAUGGAUACCUGGAAAUAAGAAGUGGCAGAAUAGAAGAAAUAAGAGAUCACAGAUUGGAAGACUUGUGCAUGCACACCCUGCUGAAGGAGAGAGGUACUACUUGCGUGUGCUCCCAAGUCAUGUCCGAGGUGCCACUUCAUUCGAUGAUUUAAAAACAGUAAAUGGCAAGCCAUGCAGUUCCUUCAGGGAGGCAUGUGAGCACUUAGGCCUUAUUGAGCACGACAGGACUCUUGAUGAUUGCAUGACGGAGGCAGCCACAUUGCAGAUGCCUUCUGCCCUAAGACGGUUAUUUGCAACUAUACUGGUGUUUUGCGAGGCAACAGAAAUCCGGCAGCUGUGGGACAAACACCUGGCAUCAAUGUCUGAGGAUUACCGGCGUAAUCAAUCCAAUGAGGCAACACUUGAGCAGAUGGUCCUCAGAGAUAUCAGGGAUAUGUUGCAAUCCAUGGGAAAAGAUAUUACAAGCUAUGGACUUUCGAAUUUGGUUGAGAACGAUGGUUCUUCUGACGGUGAGUACAAAGAGGUAAUAGAGGAGAGGCAAGUCAGCGUGGACAAAGAACACCUAGAUUUAUUUAGUAGUUUGAACAAUGAACAGCUGGCUGGUUUCAAUGAAAUAAUGGAUCAUGUGAUGGAACACAAAAGCCAGAUAUUCCUUGUUGAUGGUCCAGGAGGCACCGGCAAGACAUACUUGUACAAGGCAUUGCUUGCAAAGGUGCGUUCGAUGGGCCAGGUAGCGAUUGCAACUGCUACAUCAGGUAUAGCGGCGUCAAUAAUGCCCGGAGGACGGACUGCGCACUCCAGGUUCAAAAUUCCAAUCAAGCUCACUGACAACAGCAUGUGUAGUUUCACAAAGCAGAGUGGUACAGCGGAGUUUCUUAAACAAGCCUCCUUGAUAAUUUGGGACGAGGUCGCUAUGACAAAACGUCAAGCAGUUGAGACGCUUGAUAGAUCCCUGCAGGACAUAAUGGACUGUUCUUUGCCAUUUGGGGGAAAGGUUGUCGUCUUUGGUGGGGAUUUCAGGCAGGUCCUCCCCGUUGUGACACGUGGGACAAGAGCACAGAUCACGGAUGCUACACUUCUAAGAUCCUAUCUGUGGGAGAAGACCCGGAAGAUACGCCUCACGCGCAAUAUGCGAGCACAAGAUGAUCCUUGGUUCUCUGAAUACCUCCUACGGAUCGGCAAUGGAACAGAAGAGACAAUUGGCGACGACUAUGUGCGUCUCCCUGACGACAUUGUGAUCGGCUAUACCGAGGAUGAGAAAGCUAUUAACACACUCAUUGACAAUGUCUUCCCAUCGUUGCAUGCCAAUGCUAGAUCGAGAGAGUAUAUGAGCACACGUGCUAUUCUUUCCACCAAGAACGAUCAUGUCGAUGACCUGAAUGACAAGAUGAUCUCCAGGUUUCCAGGCUCAGAAAAGUUAUACCAUAGCUUCGACUCCAUCGAGGAUGACUUGCAGAAUAAUUACACGAUUGAUUUUCUAAACUCGAUCACACCAAAUGGCUUGCCCCCGCAUGUGUUGAGAUUAAAGGUUAACUGCCCGGUCAUUCUGCUCCGGAACCUCGACCCUCAUAAUGGCCUAUGCAAUGGGACACGACUUAUGAUUAGAGCCUUCCAGGAUAAUGCAAUCGACGCAGAGAUUGUUGGUGGUCAGCAUGCUGGAAAGAGGGUCUUCAUACCUAGGAUCCCUAUGUCGCCCUCGGAGGACAUCUCACUUCCUUUCAAACUUAAGAGGAAACAGUUCCCCAUUCGCCUGAGUUUUGCGAUGACAAUUAACAAGGCGCAGGGUCAGACUAUCCCAAACGUCGGUAUUUACCUUCCCGAGCCAGUAUUCUCACAUGGUCAGCUAUAUGUUGCAUUGUCAAGGGGAGUGUCCAGAGAGACGACGCGGAUUUUGGCCAAGCCAAACAACGAGGUUGAUAAAUCUGGGAAAAGCACCAAGAACAUUGUCUAUAGAGAUGUUUUGGGGAGAUGA
rnacentral:rRNA from 1 species